AGGAUCAACGCUGGCGGCGUGCCUAACACAUGCAAGUCGAACGAGAAAGUGGAGCAAUCCAUGAGUAAAGUGGCGCACGGGUGAGUAACACGUGACUAACCUACCCUUGAGUGGGGGAUAACCUAGGGAAACCUGGGCUAAUACCGCAUAAUACCUUCGGGUCAAAGGAGCAAUUCGCUUAAGGAGGGGGUCGCGGCAGAUUAGUUAGUUGGCGGGGUAAUGGCCACCAAGACGAUGAUCUGUA
rnacentral:rRNA from 1 species